ensembl:ncRNA lncRNA:CR43278 long non-coding RNA:CR43278
GUUGGCUAUAGGUCAGUUGUAGAAUUGUAGCUCUGAGAGAACAUCAUAAAAUAUAUAUUUGUUUUGUGAAUAGUAAAAAAGAUUUAUAAUUUUCUAAACUGAAAAACGAAACGAAACAAACAAAAUGGAUUACUUAUAUUUCGCAAAUCCCCCGGAAGGCGAAUUCGGUUAUUCGUCCACGAACAACUCCUAAUUGAUUCGUUAUCGAUUCGCAUUGAGCCUCUUCGCGGCCCAUCAAUAUGGCUAAAAGUGAAAAGAAGCUGCAGGGAAGAGCCACAGAGAGAGAAGGAGGAUCGACAGACAUUGAGCGACCAAUGCGACUGGCAACUUGUUUAGCUGAUUUUAAUCCGCAUUCGAUACGAGGGCUUUCACGGCUUUAUAGAAAUGACUGUUAUGAAGCUAUGCAUGGAACUCGACAAUAUGAUGAAUUCGCAGGAGACACAUUAUGAUCCGAUGCCAGUGUUUGGAUUGAUCUCAUAUGCCCUGGCUCUUUUUGGUAUCUUUACAUUUUUCACAAUGAGUGUGCAAAAGUACAAAACUUUAUUUUGUAAAAUUGCUGGUAACAAAGAACGAAAACCUGUAUGGGUAGAUGAAGAGGAGGAGGUCGAGCCACCACAAUUGAAGGAGGAUGUCAAGCAACCAGAAGUGGAUGAGGAUACCCCGCCGAAUCCUUUGUCGGAGGAUAAGAAUUUUUCAUUUGACAUAGAAUUUCCUGGUACACCAGGACAUCCAGAAAAUAUGCUAUUUCGAAAGCAAGGCAAUGGGGAACGAUUAGAAAGUUUUGUGAAUGCUACUGAUGCUGAACAUAGCCUAGUAGUUACCUAUCGCAAUGAAAUGGAUCCAGAUCCAAGUCAAAUACUUUUAUAAAUAACUGCAGAUCAUGAGUCGAUCAAAGUAUAUCAACCGACUCAACACUAUGAAAAUCCGUCGUCAUGAAAAAAUGUAGGACCAAUUUUUGAGAUGUAUCGUUAGAUUUGGGAUAUCCAUUAUUAGCGAGAAGUCUUUCCCAAAUUGUUAGUGUCAUUAUUUUUUGAUCUCGAAUUGUAUAAAUAUAUCAAUGUAACAAUG